CCACGAGGCGCCUGCGCGUUGAGCUCUGUAGGCUUCUUGCCUAUGGGCAAGUGAGACUACGCCGCCGUGACGUCGACGUUGCCCUGGCAACCUAGGGACACUCUUGGAGUUGUUGGACCGCCCAAGCCGUGACUUGCGCUCUGUAAGGUCGUGACCUGUGUGUGCGGAAAAAGCCUAAAAUGAGCCUGGUUUAAGAGCUACCACAGGUGCUGGACUCUUCUAGAAAACCUGUCGCGUCGGUUUGGUCUCCUUUAUAACACCGUUAACUGGUUGGAAUAUACCAAUAAAUAUGCUGUUACUGCUCAAACAAACCACUUCCUUGUGUUGCCAUCUUCAAUCAAAAUGUAGACUGCUAUAGAUAACUUGGAAAACACAGAAAACAACAACAAAAAGGUCAUCUGUGAUCAUGCCCUAGAGAGAACUACUUUUGAUAUUAAGCUGGGGAGGAUGAGGAUCUAGCACCACACACUAUCUUCUUGUCUUCCCAUUCUGCUUUCAACAUAAACCAGAGACCAUUAGGAACACAGCUGAAAGCAAGUUAAAUUUAUUAUUUUCUGCAACAAAGAAGACCCUACAUCAUGGAGAGCAAAGACAAUAUCAAACAGUCAGAAGUCCUGCUAGGCUAAUAGCUGGUCAUGUGAUCAAUUUUGGAAUCAAUAUAACAGGAAGCAAAAAAUCGGAGGAAACCAAGAAAGAGGAAGAAAAGGGAUAUCAGAAACAGAAGAUGCACUGAGCUGAGAGGCUGGUUGGUUGGCCAGAGUUUCUCAUCAAGGAGUACAUGCUGUUUGCUCCCCAGAUGGACAGCCUGGAUGAGCUACAAAUCCACAGAGCCUGGGACACAAGAAAUUCCAAUGCUCAACAAAUGCUGCAAGUAGGUCAAACCUUCACUGGAAAACCAGGUUGGGUUGCAGACACCAGAUGACAGGAGGGGCAGUGACAGAUUGGAGUGACCCAGAGUACUGGAACAAUGAUGAAAAAGAAAAGAAACGUAAAAGAAAAAAAAUUGAAUAGAUGGACCAGCGAAGAGACUGAAACACGAUUGAAAUUACAUCUUUUUCUCCUAGAAGUCAAAGUAUGAAGCACUUUAUAGUACAUAAACUAAGUAGAUUUGAGCUUGCUGGACUUGAGCAUCAGGCUUGUGUUGGUUUAAGGGUUUGCAGGACUUGUACCACCUUGAAACUUUCUGAUUUUGGAGUAAUUGCUGUACCAGUUUUUUCUAUUUUCAGGUAAGUUCAUUGUUUUCCAGGUUUCUCAGUAGUCCAUAGCCCCUCCACACUGUAAUGUGUUCCUCAUAUC